CAGACCCAGGGUCUUCAUGCUGAGUUACAUCCCCAGUGCAUUUAAAAAAAUUAUUUUUAUGUUGAGAAGGUCUCGCUGAGUUAUUCAGGAUGGGCAGUAACCUGCAAUCUUCCUGCCUCAGCCUCCCAGAGUGCUGGGCUUACAGGUAUGCACCCCAUACCUGACUGACAAGCCUCUCGGGGCUCCUCAGAGACCCUCCAGCCCAAAUUCAUCCUUUUACAGGAGAGGGAACAGUGACCCAGAAGGGUGGCAGAGCUUGGGUAGCACAGGGAGAGGCCAGCAGGCUCUUUACUAGGCUGCCUGCUUUCCUCCAUGUCCUGCCUUCCUUGACAUCUUGGCAUCCACAACCUUCCCAUUUUGGUUUCUGUGAUUCCCCUGAGCUGCCUGCAUUGGUAUUGGGCCUCUUGAAGAGUGGGUGCUGCUUUUACUCUGCAACAGAUGAAUUUGUAUGUGCUAUGAAAGUUGAAGGCCCAGACUUUCAAGUGCAAAUCUGGUGGCUGCCCCAGGAAGACCUAGGGCUCUGCUGGGAUCACCUUUGCCCUCUCACCUGUGGUAACUGCCUGUGCACCCUACAGAAAGCCCGCAAGCAGCAUGGGCCGGAAGAAGGUGUGGCCCAUCAGUACCGGGAUUGCACCAGCUUGAGGUGUGGUCUCUAGGGACGGAGCCCACUUAGAACACUGCCCACCAUACACACCUAGAAGGGUAGGCCAGACCUGCAGGGUCAGGUUACUGCCUGAGCCUGGGACAGUCUCCCUUUUCCAGCUUCCCGGUCACCUUGCAUUAGCUUCUAGCCUGGUAUUUUUCACCCUCGUAGUGUGAGAUCCUGUGAGGCCCCAGUGGAGACCGCGGAGGCAGUUCUGUAGUAAUGCCCAUAUCCACCACAUUUUACACACAGCAUGGAGAGAUUCGUGGGUUCCCUGAAUCCCCUGGCUCACGAUAGACUCUAAAUCCUUCUGGCAUUUUGGAAGUCAGAUCUGAGCUAUCCCUACCCGCUAGCUACAUCUCAAGGAAAGCUCACACGCUACCUAGUCCCAAAUGCCUCGGAAAGGCUGCGUCCCCCUCCCCAGUGCCCACCUCCCACUCUGCCCCUGAACUUGACCCCAUUUUGCCUUAUCUCAAGUCCAGGCUCUUCUGGGUGCCAGCUCUGAAGUUGGCACUGGCUGACGUGCGAGGAGAGAGACUGUGAGUACCGACAGCUGCUAAGUGCUGUCCCUCAUCAGCUCGGGAGGCCACAGAUUGCCACAUUCUUCACAGAGGGCGUCUGAGGGCCGGAGUGGGUGGAAGGAGCAGAGAGGCCAGCGGAGAAGCAGGACGGGAUGGGGGUCAGCCAGACUGAGGACCCUCUGCCAAUCCAAGACCCUGUCCCAACCCCCUCCAAGGAAGGGUGAUAGAGGAAAUUGUGGCCUCCUGGCCGGGGCCUGGCAGGAGAUGCUGUCAGCCUCUGCGUGGAGGGGAAGGGACGGGAGGGCUGAACUCUGGGGGGACCAGGGCAGGGUAGAGCAUGGGAAGCCCGAGUAGAAGGAUUGGGACUCAGGGUGGGCCGGGACUCUGAGGAGUGAGAGCAGCCUGCUGGCCCGAGAGGGGCCGAGGCCGCCCAGGGGUGGCCCAAGCCUCCGAAGUGCCUUUGGCUGAAGAAAGCUGCUUAAUCUCCCCCUGGAAAUCAGGAAGUUGGAACCCGCACAGCUGAUUACAGAGCCAGAGGAGCUAUUUCGGAGGAAAGAUGAAAAGAAUUAAAGUCAGCUCAGAAGGGAGCCGAUGAGAGGGAGCCGGAGGCAGUGAAACUCCAGGAAGGCGAGGGAUCUUCACCUUGACCAAGUUAGCAGGAGCAGAUUUGGCAGGAGCAGGGGCCUGAGGGGACUUAGCACAAAGCAGCCUCCCUGUCCCUUAGGAGGAGUGUGGCUCCCAGGCUAGGCCAGGCUUUAGCAUCAUGGGGGAGACAGGAAUCCACUGGGAGAUGGCGACUAUGGAGCCAGAGUUGGGAGAAAGAGAAGAAGAGUCGCUGGAGGUGGAGUUUCUUGCCUGUGCAUCCAGCCAUACCGAGCUGUACGUAGUUCCUGAGCCCUGUACCUGGCCGCUCUGCUCCCAGGCUUUGCACUGCUGAGUCCUUCCUUUGGUCACUCCCUAAUUCCUACCUAACCUUCAAGUCUUAGAUGUCACUGCCUCCAGGGAGUCUCUCACCCCCUCAGCAUUUGCUCUUCCUCUACAAGGACCGCAUUGGGCCACAGGGCCACCUGGUGUACUCCUUAGGUCCUGUCUGUCACCCGCUCUGGUCCCUGCCUGCCUUGAGGAUGAAGCCUCUGUCUUCAUCCUGAACCCCAGUGCCCAGGACAGUGUGUGGCAUGCUGCACAGGCUGUUGACUGCUGAAAGCAGCAUGCGUCACUGCACGUGUUGUGAUCGAAAAUCCCUUGUACACACGCUCCCACAGUGACACCACAGGACCCUGAGAUUAACUACACAUGUAUUUAAUCUUCUCGGGAUUCAGUCUUAGUCAUUCCCAGGGCCUAGAACAGCCUCAGACAAGAUCAAUGUCCAACAAAUGUGGAAGGAAGGAAGGAAGAACCAACACAAGAUGAAGGCUCAACAGCACACCCGGAGAAAGCUCACUGUGGCCGUGGCAGGUGUUGAGAGUCAGACUGCAGACAGGAGAUCGAGCCAGGGGCGCAAGUUGAGAGCAGGAAGAGAAAGCUAUAGAGGGCCUCCUGUAUAUCCGCACUGCCCCAGAGCUUGUCUCCCACUCUAUGGUGCUUCAUGAAGAAUGGGAGUUUUGAGCAGAAUUUUGAAAAACAGAAGUCUCGUCUUUGGGAAGAAGGAUCUCAAGCCCAGGUCAGGUGGGGGGUUUCUGGGAAGGUUGGGUGCUGGCUCUGUGCUUCCCUGAGCUUCUGUAAGCUUCUUUGUGACCCAGAAGCCAGGAGAAAAUGAACAGAGCAAGGGCCGAUGCAGUGGAGGAGGGCAGCAGUGGAGCAGAGAGCGGUUAAGGUCGGCCUCUCAAACAGAGCUCUGCAGCCUCCUCUUGGCAGAGGGUGGGACUUUCCAAAGGGGCGAUGAAGACACAACACUUGCUGAGUGGCAAGUGCUGAACCACCCACUUGUUAAUACAUUUAGCCAUUAUUGUAGCUCUUGGUGGUACUGGGGAUUGAGCCCAGGGCCUUUGUAUUGAGCUACGUCCCAGCCCUUUUUAAAAUUUUUAGCUUUGAGACAAGGUUUCUGCUAUGAUUUGAAUCUUGAAUGCUCCCCCAAAGGCUCGUGUGUUGAGGUUGGGCUUUCAAAAGGUGAUUGGAUCAUGAGGCAUUAGGCUUAUCAGUGGCCCCAACACAGAGGUCGACAGGAGUCUGCCCACCAAGCUAUCCUGGGAGUAUGGUUAGGGUCUGGUUGAAGGAAUAAGAGGGGUCGAGUGAAAGGAAAGACUUACACCCCACACUUAUAAGUUAGAAAAUCAUUUGGGGCAGGGAACCCUUAAAAGCAGAGGGAUGGGGGUAGGAGCAAUCUCUGAUGGUCUGAACCUUGGUGUGUGGAGAAAUUGACCUUGCCUCAGUGGCCUUGGGAUACACCAUUCCACCAAUCCUAUCCUCAUCCCUCAAAGAAGGUAUGGCCCUCCGAGGGAAGUGCCAUAAGGCUAUGACCAUGGCGGGUGUUCCUAGCUAUUUCUCUGGAUAGCUCUGUUUCCUCUUCCACCCAGCUGCUGAGCAGGAGAGCCAAGCCAGAGUCCACAAGCAGGACCCUCCCCCUGGCCUGCCGUUUGUUCGUGCUGGAUGCCUGCUGCCCUGGGACUGGGUGGGCCCUGGUGGGUGGUCCCACUCUGUGGCCUAUCUCUUUCUCCCUUCAGAGCAGGCCUCCCAAACAAAGGAGCUUGGAGCCCUUGGUAGCUUGGCCCUCAUUUCAUUUUAAUUAGUGACUACCUGCUCCCAUCCCUGCGCCUUUGGUAGUCUUGGUGGGCCAAUGUCACAGUCACGGGCUAGUCUCCUGUCCCUGUUCAAAACGUCCAGAGACACUUGGAAAGAGUUCAACAGCCAAGCUAUGGGAUGAUGGAAGAUGGUGACUCCCACAAUGGUCCUGGUCUUCCCAUUUGUGUUGGGGGAGAGGAGGAAUUUUGUAUCAGAACACUAGGAGGUACAUCAAAGCCAAAUUCAAGAGACACUUGCCCAGAAUGAGAGCUUUGGUUCUGGCUUCCUGGGAUCUCCUACAUCUUCUCUCAUGGCCACAACAGAGCAGACUCCAGCCACCACUGCCACCACCCCACCUUAUGGUUAGUUGCCAAGCAGCCUCAUGAUCUUAGACCAAGUGUCUUACUUUCUGUUCUGUCACUAAGACACAGUGCCUGGCACCUGAAAAUUCAAGGGAGCAAACGUUAUUUUGGCUCCUAGUUACAGUCCACGGUGAGCUGACACCAAGGAAAGACCCCGUGGCAGAGGGGCAUAGCGGAGGACAAGCUGCUUGCAUCAUGGCGGUAGGGAAGCAGAGAAGAAUGGACCAAGCUGGGGAGGGAGAUGAACCCUUCCAAGCCACGCUCCCAGUGACCCACCUCUUCUGACCAGACCCCACCUCCUAACAGCAAGCCAGCUCGAAGCCCCUAGAACCCUGUCACCUUUCAAAAGUCCCACCUUUGAGGCCCCAUGGGGCUCUUGGGGACACCCAGAUGUAAACCAUAACACCAUGGUUCCUGCUCGCAUCAGCCCCAUGAGGCAGGCACCUCAGAGAUGAUUGGCCCCUUGUAGAGAUGAGGAAAUGAGAAACUUGUGUCUUUUUCAAGACACAUGGUUGCUGAGUGACGUCGGCUGCACCGUUGGGCUUGUAGGCAGCAGGACCAGAAGGUACUCCAGGAUGAGGAGAAGCAGGCCUUGGGUGACACAGUCAGGAGUUCACAGCAAUCGGAGGGAUGAGUGGUCCCAGUUGCUCUGCACCCAGAAAGUCCCUCCCUGAGUCACUGCGCCUAUUGCUGCCUGAAACCCAGCACCUUCCCCAGGGAGCUCCGUGAAUCAUCUCCUUUCUGCUCUCUCUCAGGUGCUCCCGGCCAGGCCCUCUUGGCUCUCGUAGGAUCUGACUCAGAUGAGAAGACUGAGGCCCGGAAAUAUGCAAGUGAUGUGCCCAAGGCCCUAAAGCAAGCAAGUAAGGAAGUAGGUGUACGUCUGCCCUGUUUCUGGAGGUGUCUGGGUGCUUGCUGCGUGGGACUCCCUUCUGGUGUCUGCAUUUCUGUGAAGGCAGGACAGAAGAGGUGACUGGCAGCAGGUUGGGAGAAUUUUCCUGCACAUGGUCACUCAGAGACAGUGAGUCAGGCACUUUAUUUUGAGGUCGGUUUCCUCUUUCACUUCCCCAAACAAUUGCUGGGGAGUGAGCUCACUUGUCACCUGGUCUCAAACCAAGAUCUGACAUACUUGCACAGCGGGGCCCUGGAGGGAUUAAUAAUAAUGAUCCAAAAGGAGGCCAGCACCCCUGUUCCAGGACUCCUGCCCUCUUGGCCAAUCACCCCCCAGCUGGAGGGCUUCUCUCUAGCCUGUUCCCACAGCCUCCUGCCUGUUUCUUGACCUCAGUCUCUUUCCCAUUCAACCCUCCCUGUGACUGAGCUAUGAACAGCUCUCCUCACCUCUCAGAAUUCCUCCGGCCUCAGCUUGGCUCUCGAGGCUCCACCCACUCAGGUCCCUAACUAUCUUCCCACUUUGGCUCCACCUCUCUUCCUUGGCUAUGAAACUGCCUUCAGCCAAGCUGGAGACUGGCCUAGACAUGCUUCAUGUUUUCCCAACUCCAAGCUUCCUGCCAUAGCAUUCCCUUGGCCUGGAAAGCCACUCCCACGCUCUCUGGAUUUCUACCCAUCCUUCAAAGCCUGUGACAAAUGUGACCUCCUUCCUGAAGCCCUCCUGAUUUCACCACCAGGAAACGCUCUCUCCCUCCUGUGAUGUCUCAUAGCUCCUGGUACACAGAUCUCGACACAAACAACUCUCCGUGUAUUGUGGUGGUGCCGUAAAGCUUUGGGUGUUUACAGAGUUAUGGAGACUGUGGGAUUCUGCAACACUGCUUGUGCACCUCUGUGUCUGUGUGUUUGUGUGAGGUGAAGGGCGGAGCCCUUGUACAUCAGGAAGGGAUGGGUCAUGGCGUCCAGCACUUUUGCUCCGCCAAUGAACAGCCAGGCUUCUUUCUUGGAGGACAGAAGUCCCUCACAAUCAAACCCACAAACACUCUUGGAGGAAGAAAGGAGAGACGGAAGAAGCGAAUACACAUAUACAGCUCAUUUCCUGCAUCCCAGGCACUGUGGGAGAGGGGAAAUUUCCCACGAGCAAUGUGCUCACUUAACACUCAGUAGCUGUAAAGGGCAGAAUGAGUAGUACCAAGGGCCAGGCUCACACGGUGGGUGUGCUGAGUGGUGUUCACAGAGCGACUCUGCCAGAGGGUCAUGGGACAGGAUCAGGCAGGGGAUGAUGAACCACAGAAAGGUGCCCCCAAGGCCUCAGCUGCUUCCAUGGGGUGCGCUGAAGCUUGAGUACUCUUCAGUGAUGUUACCCUUAGGGGCAACCAGGCUGGAUCUUUGUACUCCUGGGAAUGGGCAUAACUGGGCACUAUGGAUGCCUUCAGCUGACGGCAUCCCCUGAGAAGCAGUAGCCUCCAUCCAGGGACUGUGGAUCAGAGAAACGCCUGCCUUACAAGUGUGGCACUGCUGGCAAGCGAAAGGGCUGGGGAUUAACCUCAGCCGGCCUGACUCCUGGUGCCCACAGGCUUUGUCCUGAGGUAGUGCGUGGCUUUUAACCUACCUCAGAGGUGAGCAUGGCCACCCUGCGUCCAAGAUACAUCAUUCGGUAUGAAUGGAAGUUCACACCCAGAAGGAUCCCUGAAAAGAAUGGUCUCCCCUUUCCUGAAAGAUCUCAGGCGGAUCUAGUGUUAAAUGGUAGCUGUGAGAAGGUAGGCACGGGUCCUCUUGUUUUUCUGUUGCUGCCUGGUUUUUAAUCCCACUUUGACAACUUUGGGGGUGGGAUCUGAGUGCGAUAUUCAAAAUCCUGAACAACCUGGUAAACACCCAGAACCCCAGAGUGGGCUCUGGCAGAGUGGCACCUGCUCCAGAUGAGCGUUAAACCUGGGGGCCCAGGGGGCAUCCCAGCCUGCGAUUCCUGAUUAAACCGAGAGGUGGAGCAUGUGAGACAGAGACGUCAUCUAUCCUGGGCCUCUUCCUAUUGUGGGGCCUGCACAUCAGUCUGCCCCGUAUGCUCCUGUGCCUGGCCCAGUUUGCUACACGAAGUCUGUGCGACUGCUGUGGACUCAUUUAUUAAAACGAGAGGUUUCCAAUCCUGUUUCUCCUUGAAACAGAAGAAUCUGGUGAAGCCCCUCAGGGGAGGGGAGGCGAGCGGGCCAGGGCAAGGCCUCCUACCCUACUUCAGCUGGAACAGUGCACCUUGUAUUUGUUUAUGCCUCCAUACGGUUUCACUCAGACCCCACAUUCCUGAGCUAAAAACAAAAAGCUCAGAAACCACCCGGCUGCACAUGAUGUGUGAGUGAGGCCCUUCGUGUGUAGCUCUGACACGCUCCGAUAUAAGUGAGCAAAUGGACGGGUGGAUGCAGGAACGAGUGAAUGAAAGGAUGAACUCUUUGCGCACCUAGCCAGCAUCAGCCUGAUCCCAGCCACACCUGUUCUCAGAGCAGGCGGCCGGCUGUCCCGAGUCCUCUGAAAAUCUACACAGAUCAGAUGCCGAUCCCGAAGUCCUGACAAUGAGCAGAUUCUGCCUAUCUCCACCACUGGCCCUGACGAGGGCCUUCCCUUUAGGUGUCUCGGAUGUCACUGGGUCUGAACAGGAGAGUCACCCACGGUGAGUUCUCCUGCACUCGUCUUCUUUGGCUCUCCCAGAAUGUUGACUCAGCUGAAAGACUCUGACAGCAGCAGCGCAAGUUGCUGGCGGGUUCGGCAGUAGAAUCAUUAGGUCUUCUCGGUGUGCGUCCCGGGGUGGGGCACUGGAUCAGGCUGGCGUCGGUCCCCUUUCAUCCCGGGAAAGGGCUCCCAAGUUUGGCCUGGAUUUCUUCCCUUAUCCUUUUCUCAGCCUCCCCCCACUUCCUUUCCAUCCUCCUUUCCUCCCUCUAAAGCAGUAGUGCUCAACCUUGGCUGUGCGUGUUAAUUGCUUAGGGAGACGUAAAUAUUUCCGAUGCCCAGAAACUUUUACUAUUUGGUUUGGGGCGUGGCCUUGGCAGCAGGACUUUUAAAAGCUCCCCAGGUAAUUCUACUGUCCAGCCAAGGUUGAGCAUCAUGACCUGAGGAUGCAGGGGUAGGAUCUUCACUUUAGCCGGGGGAUUCAGUUGUGUGGGCUGGAUUUAGAGCAGAGACAUCCAUUAGCAGCAGGGGAGGGAAGUAGAGCCUCGCCAUACCUCCGGCCCUGUGAGACUCAGGGAGGUCAGUUCUGUUCGGUGUCCAAAUGACAAGGUGUGACAGCACCGGGGAACACAUCAGAGCACGUGGAGGCUCCAGGGCAGCAAUGCACCAGGUCCACAGUGCUGUCGCAGAGCCUCAGGGGCUGCAGUUUGGAGAGCUGUAGACCUCACCAAGGGCCUGGGCAGCAGCACUGUCACAGAGUCUGCUGGCAGCAAGGCCUCCCCUGCAGUGACCACGGGCAGCACACGCAAGGGGUGGAACAGAAUGAGAACGGGGAAGACUUCGUGAGAUGUGGCGUCCACUUUCAGUUGCACUCCUGUCUGUGACUACAUGUGGAAUAUGCCCAGGGGACCCCACAUCACGGAGUGAGCUUGUGGCAGAUAGGAGCAAGCACAGUGAAAUCUGCUCCUUUUACUGAUGGAUCUGUGGGAUGGUGAAGUGUAGGGUCAUAGAUGGGAGUCACCGUCGUGAAACUGGUGGUGGUGGCCACGUGGUAAGGUCUGGCUGACAUUUGCCAGCCUUGUCUAAACGUGCCCCUUAGCUGCUCGGCCCCAUGAGUAGUUUUCUCUCCAUACAUGAACCACGCAAUCGAGGGCUCCUCAAGUCUCACUUCCCCUGCGUGUAUGUUCUCAGUGUGAAGUGUUUGCUUUGCUUCCUGUGCAAGUUCUCCCUCUCCUUU